AGGCAGUCCGGCCUGUUGUCGUGCCGGCUGUUUGCGGUCAUCGCGGGCGCAGUGUUCAUGGCGCUGGUGGUCCUGUUUGGCGUCCCCAAGGACGAGCAGCAGCAGCGCGGACUAUCGACAGCCGCACGUCCCAACCUCCCUUCUGUGCCGAACGCCCAUCAGCCAGGGGCCUGGUCCAAUUUUUCGGGAAGCUUCUCUCUGGCAGACGGACGCAUCGCCGCGGGCCGACAAGACAAGCUGAACACUCCUGGCACACAAAACGG